GCGUCCGUAGCUCAAUGGAUAGAGUACUGCCCUCCGAAGGCAGGGGUUGCUGGUUCGAUCCCAGCCGGGCGCACCA
rnacentral:tRNA from 10 species